ensembl:lncRNA
CGCGGAAAUAGCUUCAGCCAUACCGAAAAACGGUUUGUGAAUGGUUUUAAGGAUUAAAUCAUACGUAAUACCAAAGAAAUCCUUUAUGGUGCUUCAAUCUCCCGUCAUAACAGCAAUACUGACUAAGAAUGCUAUCAGCAGCACCUUCAGUAAAAGAGAAUGGCCAUGACGGGAACAGGACAGAACAGAACCCCUUUAAGAUGCCUGAAGAUAACACCAUCUUUCACUUUAGAAAGACAGAGAAAGCACGAAGAAAGCAAGUAUGUGGAUUUAUUAUCUGCAGUGUUGAAUUUAGUCUUGGUGUUGUAUCUAGCUGGUUUGGUGUUAAUUCAAUACUUAAAUCCCCACCUCAUACUCACCCCC